UUUCCGUAGGUGAACCUGCGGAAGGAUCAUUACCUAGAGUUGUAGGCUUUGCCUGCUAUCUCUUACCCAUGUCUUUUGAGUACCUUCGUUUCCUCGGCGGGCUUGCCUGCCGGUUGGACAUUAUCAAACCUUUUUGUAGUUGCAAUCAGCGUCAGAAACAAAACAAUAAUUACAACUUUCAACAACGGAUCUCUUGGUUCUGGCAUCGAUGAAGAACGCAGC
rnacentral:misc_RNA from 1 species